UUCAUCUAUGUGUAUAUAUGUGGACUGAUGAGCUCAUUCCCAAGGGAGAUAAUUCAAUAGAACAUCAUGAAGGGCUCUUCUUCUUCUUCUUCUUCUUCUUCUUCUUCUUCUUCUUGUACCACCAUUGCACAAACUAUGGCAAUCGUGGGUAUUUUAUUACUAUGCAACUUCCUGCCAUGCUCGACGGCCAACCAAGUUCAUCCAGACGGUUUCCGCCCUGUGGUGGGUCCUCCAUCGCCGCGGCCCGGGACAUCCAUUAGCUGCGUCCAUGGAUGCCGGCACCUUGACACUACGCCACCAGCAACACUAGCGCCGCACCGCAAGAUCCUGCAGCGAGCAGCUGCCAACGUGCCCCUAAUGUAUGAAGCACCACGGAUGCUAUGAGCACUGGGUCUCUUUUUCUUGCUGUGCCGUGUCGAGCUCUCGGUUAUUUCAUGAUUUUGCUUGUCGUCUUCAAAUCACACUGUGAAAGGGUGUUUCUGCGACUGGUAUAUAAGUAAGACUCUGGAAAACAAAUAAUGAACGAAUAUGUUGAAUCCUUCUUA